rnacentral:misc_RNA from 1 species
AGUCUAAUUCUAACAGUUUAAAAGACAUAGAGAGCUUUUGCAUACAGUCUAUAGAGGCAUAUAAAGAAACUAAUUGCGAAGACAGUAAAACUUUAAAACAGUUGUUUAAAAGUGUAAAAUUGCUCUACAUUUGCUAUAUUUUGUUAAUUCGGAUUUCUUAAAUAAGUAAUUUAUCAAGGUUUGUAAAUAUUUUAAACGAUUCAUUUUAAUUACCUUCUAUUUAGCAUAUUUUCAUAUAAUAACCAUUAAAGAAACUGUUUUAAGGAAUUAUUAUUAAAUAUUUAUAUAGUUUAAUUGACAACAUUUCUUUAUUUUUUUUUAUUUAAUGAUAUGAAUGAAGUCGUAGAAGAGUACUCUUAAAAGUUAAAUUAGUGAUAAAAAGAUAGGAUAUAAUCGUUUACAAAACUAUAGAUAUAUAUACUUUUUUCUUGUAAUUUAUUAUUGAUAUUUUGUAUUUAUUUUAGUCUAUCUGGUCAAGGCUCACUUGUAUAACUAUACAUGUGGUUUUAUAUAGACAGUACGGAAAAAUGUUUUUACAGGGAUAGCAUUCGUCUGAGAGAAAAGCUUAUUGAAAUAAUUAUAAGACUUUUGCUUGUAUGUUUUUGCUCAGAAUCAUAUCAAUUAAUAGUGAAUACUUCCGAACUUGGUUUUUAUUAGUGUUUUAAAUAUAAAAAAAUGUCAGCCCUGGGCUAUUGACGUCAUGAUAGUUACGUAAUUUCUAAGAAAUACCAAACUUAAAUAAUUAACUUAUAAUUAUUUAGUCCAUUGCAUUGAGAUACAAAAAUAUAUUGACUUCGUAAAUUAAAGUCGGAUAAAUUAAAGAAAGCAAAGUAAAAGGAACCUCAGCGAAAGCUAUUAAAUUGUUAAGGAAAUUGAAUAGGAACCACUCUACCAGUCGCUAUUUCAAAUUGAGUCCGCCAAAACCACGGACAUUGUAAAUAGUGAAUAAUUUUCGUUUUUAUAUCCCAUAGAUCAUUUCACUCCUCUCGGACUUCCUGUGACGGUUGUUGUGUGCGGGCUAGGUAUGUCGACAGUUACUCCCAAUAAAGAAUCUGUUCAGAAGAAAAUUGCGAGUAUUCUUACACCUCUGAAAGAUGAGAAUGAGAGAAGACUCAGAGGAUUUCAGAUUGCUAAAAUGUGUUUUAUGGAAGGAAUGCUGGAUGAAGCAAACAAAUAUAUAAAGGAUUUUUUAACAGUACAUACAUCAGCCGCUGCUUACAAAUUACAAGGUGAAAUUCUAGAGCAGCUUAAAGAGGGAACAAAAGCUUUGGAAUCAUAUAAGAGAGCAUUUGAAAUUGAUGAAGCAGAUAAUGUCGGAGUGUUGAAUAAAAUUUGUGAAUUGGGUGCUGCUAAUAAAAUGGAUGAAAAUGUACAACAAUUUUAUAGAGAGAAAGCAGAAGAAAAGGAGAAACAUAAUUCGUUGUUCAGACUCAAGAAUCGAUCAAUGGUAACGCCCCCUACUCCAUCAACACAUUUGUUUUCAACAUCGACGCCAACAAGAACCACUUUUCAGGCACGUAACAAUGCCCAACCAUCUCCUCAAAAUAUUAGUGCUGUUUCAAUGACCCAACCGGUGAAUUCAGCUCCUCCAUCGGCUCCCACUCCAGCUCCGAUAAAGGAUACAUCAAACGUUUUAGAGCAUUUAGUUAACGUCCUUAUUGAUCAGAACAAGUCGUUGAUGGAUACUAUUAAAGAGACUGUUGACUAUGCUGUUAAAGAGAUGCGUGAAAGUCAUGUAAAGGUUAAUCAGACAGUUGAGAAACUUCGUGAAAAUAACACUAAUGUUAAUAAGAAUAUAGAUGAAUUAUCAGAUAUGAUUAAUUCGCUACGUGAUCUUAAGGUAGCCCCAUCUCAAGUAAAAUCUGAUGAAAAUACACCGAAACCGAGUCCCCCAAGACCUCCUGCUCCCACUCCAGUUGUUAUAGAACAGCAAAAUAUUCAACCGGCAAGCACAUUAUCGCAAAUAAAUCCACUGGCUCAAUACGCACUUCAGAUGCAAAUACAAUCUGCAAUUCAGCAACAGGCCACAAAACAAAAUUUAAUGUAUCCUCCUCCAUUUCAAAAUCCAACUGGACUACCGGAAUAUAGAAAUUUGAUGUACUACCCAAAUCAUGGAGGAUCUUCUAUGUGUGGAGGUUCUACUGUACCCACUCAAGCUCCACCAGUCUCCAAUUAUCAGUUUGGACCGAAUAUGGAUAAUCAGGCUGAAAAUGCCGCUAACAGUUUGGCAGCAUUGUCACAAAUGGCAAGAAAUCAACAGCCAUUAUCGAAUCCUCAGUCCCGACCUUUGGCUCCAAGAGAACCCGUUCCAUUGAAUUUUACAAAAACAAACACAGGCGAAGGGUUUAAGCCAAAUUUGGGUGAACCUUUUAAACCCAAUACACAAAAUGCUUUUAAACCAAAUCAAACUGAAACUGGAACUGUCAGUCAACAAUCGCUAUUCAAGACAAAUGCAGAGGAUACUAGCAAACUCAACAACACAACUCUGGAUAGUCUUAAGGGACAAGAUUUAAGCACAAUUAAAUCUCCUGAAAAGGAUGAGCAUGAAGACUUUGAACCAACAGUUUCCUUCAAGCCUAUAUGUGAACUCCCUAGUAAUAUAGUGAUCAAAACAGGAGAAGAAGAAGAGAAAAGUUUGUUUUGUCAUCGUGGCAAGUUGUAUAGGUACGAAUCUAAAACCAACGAAUGGAAAGAGAGAGGACUGGGUGAUAUUAAAAUCUUACAGCACAAAGUAAAUGGAAAAAGUCGAAUAAUAUGUCGCAGAGAACAAAUUUACAAAUUAGCUUGCAAUCAUUAUAUAACAUCUGAUAUGCAUAUUUCUAAAUUGAGCACCGCAGAAAAUUCAUGGUGCUGGAUUGCUCAAGAUUUCGCCGAUGAAGAGUUAAAAACAGAAAACUUUGCUGUAAGAUUUAAGCUUGCAGCUACGGCUGAAGAGUUUAAGACCAUAUUCGAACGAUGUGCGGCUUCGGAUAAAUCUACCUCUACAGCUAGUCCACCAAAACCAAAGGAGGUUCCUCAGUCCUCUAGCUGUUCGGCGCAAUCUGCCUUCGAUAAUCUUAUGAAAGGAAAGGAGGGAGAAUGGGAGUGUAACACAUGUCUUGUCCGGAAUCCAAAGGAAAAAACCGAGUGUGUCUCUUGUUCUGAGCCGAAGCCAGGACAUGAGAAAGCUAAAGGGAAAAAAAGCUCUGGCGGAUCAUUCACUCCUGGAUUUUUAGGAAAUCAAGGAGCUUUGAACCUAUCAGCAAAAGAUCCUGCUCAAAAGGGUUUUGCUUUUGGCUCACCUGCAGCCGUUACUACGAGCAAAGCUACUACUCAAGCUAGUUCUACUGACACUGCAGUGAAACCGCUAGGCUUGACAACUACAACUUCAACAACACCUGCUUCAGCUCCCUUCAAAUUCAGUUUUGGUUCCAUUGAAAAGGGUGGAUUUGUCUUCAAUAAAACUGCAAGCACCCCAACUACAACAUUUACAACACCUCAGAAACUGCAAUCAGAAAUUUUUUCAGCCAAUAGUCCAGCAGCUACAGAAAAUCAGAGUUACCUAAAUUCUUCAUCUGAAAAUCCCGAAGAGCACGAGUCUAGUGCUUACUUUGAGCCGAUAGUUAAAUUAGAUCCCGUUGAAAUUGUUACUGGAGAAGAAAACGAGAAAGUCCUUUAUAAAUCUAGAGCAAAACUUUAUCGAUUUGUAGAUGGUGAAUGGAAAGAGAGAGGUAUUGGUGACGUAAAGAUACUACAAAAUAAAAACAACAGGAAAUGCCGCAUCUUAAUGAGGAGAGAUCAAAUUCACAAAAUAUGUUUAAAUCAUGCUUUAACAUCUGAUUUAACUUUAUCUGAGAUGGCAAAUUCUCAGGGGAAAGCUUGGAUAUGGCAAGCUGAUGAUUUUGCAGAUGAAGAAAUAAAGCACGAACGCUUUGCUAUUCGAUUUAAAACUCCCGAAAUAGCAAACAGCUUCCAAGAUACUUUCGAUAAGGCAAAGAACAGUAAAGACAAACCUGUGGAUUGCGAAGUUAUAAUUAGCCCUCCAAGACGAGAGUCCGUAACUAACAGUGGUAAAGUCACUUCCCCGAAGCCAGCCACUCCAAAAGAAGGCAGUGAAAAGAAAACGACCCUAUUUUCUUUUACAACUCCUACACCUUCCACACAUAGAUUCUCUUUUGAGGCACCUCCAAAAAAUACAAAUGAAAUUAAAUUUAACUUUACUGAUUCGCCAAAGUUUGCUUUUAAUAACAAACCUGAAGAGAAAGCUAAGCCUGUACAACAAAGUAAUAGCAAUAGUAUGCUUCACCAGUUGCUUGCAGGCUCUGAAGAUGCUCUGAAGACAACUGAUGAAGCAGAGAUAAAGGAUGUCAUAUUUUUGGAGACAAAAUUACCGAUCAAGCAAAAAAUUGAACUGGCUUUGAAAUACAAACUACCAGAAUCUUUCUUUAAUUAUGAAAACAAGAAAAGUUGCUCAGGAUGUGUAGGUUGUAACUCAGAAUUUUUUGAUUUUUCAACCAUUGGAAAGAAAAUUGAACCUAAAUCAGAUAUUAGUAAAAAAGAAACGGUUCAAUCAUCCGAAGAAGAGAAACCACCAGUUCAACAGAAUUUAUUUGGUGAGGAAGACGAAGAUAUAAUUUUCAACGAAAGAGCCAAAUUAUAUCGUUUUGUCGAUGACCAAUGGAAAGAAAGAGGAGUAGGUCAAAUGAAAAUAUUGAAAAAUAAAGCAGGCAAAUAUCGUAUUUUGUUGCGAAGAGAGCAAGUUUUAAAAUUGGCUUGUAAUCAUCGUAUAACUCCAUUUAUGACAAUGGAUCCACUGCUGACAUCAGAAACAGCUUUAUGUUGGUCUGCAAAUGAUUACUCGGAAUCGGAUAAUGGUGUGUUUGAAAAAUUCUCUGUUCGAUUCAAAUCAAAAGAGCUAACUGUAAAGUUUAAAAAUGUGUUCGAAGAAUGCAAGAAAAUGAUCCAAAACGAAGAGAAAAAAUCUACAUCUAACAGCACACCGCUGCUCACACAUGAAAAUGAUGAAAAUGACGAUGAAGAAUACGAAACUGAGGAUGAGACAGAGUUAGCUUUUGAGAAACGUGUUACUCUCGGUUAUGUUGGAAGUGACGGGCGAAUCACAGAAAGUCAUUUAGGAGAUUUGACAGUUCACUUGGAUGAUGAUAUAAACGCAUAUAGAUUACAAAUGGUGAACGAUAAUUCGGUUUUGGUUUGCAAUCAUGUUAUUUGUCAAGAGCACAUGUUAUAUAAGAGUCAAUCUAAACCUAUAUAUGUUGAGUGGACUGCCGAAGAUUUCUCUAUUGAUGAAUCUGUGAAGAGGCGAUUUCGAGUAACUUUUUCAUCACAGCAGUCAAUGAAUGAAUUCGAAAAGAUAUUUACAGAGGGGAUUGAAUUAGCAAGAGAAGAUAACGUAUCCCAAAGAGGACAGUCAGUGGAGAUGAUGAAGCCGUGUGUGUACAGUUCUUGA